GUAUCCUUCGCGAAUGAUCGAAAUCCAGACCAGCCUCCGACGUCGCCGCUCGCCGCUUCCCUAGGGAUGCCGCUGGCUCGUCACGGAUUCGCGCUCAUGUCUUGAUCGAUGCGCACGAAAUGAAGCCACGGGAUACCGUGGCUUUUGU
rfam:Burkholderia telluris isolate LMG 22936 genome assembly, contig: contig000009